rnacentral:rRNA from 1 species
UACGGGGGGGGCAAGCGUUGUUCGGAAUUACUGGGCGUAAAGGGCCAGUAGGCGGCCAACUAAGUCCGACGUGAAAUCCCAAGGCUUAACCUUGGAACUGCGUCGGAUACUGGAUGGCUUGAAUUCGGGAGAGGGAUGCAGAAUUCCAGGUGUAGCGGUGAAAUGCGUAGAUAUCGGGAGGAACACCAGUGGCGAAGGCGGUUGCCUGGAGCUUUGCUGACGCUGAUGCGCGAAAGCGUGGGGAGCGAUCCGG